rnacentral:rRNA from 1 species
GACGAACGCUGGCGGCGUGCUUAACACAUGCAAGUCGAGCGAUGAAGCACCUUCGGGUGUGAAUUAGCGGCGAACGGGUGAGGAACACGUGAAGAAUCUGCCUUCAACUCUGGGAUAACUCCGGGAAACCGGGGCUAAUACCGGAUAUGAGCCUUGAUCGCAUGAUCGGGGCUGGAAAGUUUUUCGGUUGAAGAUGACUUCGCGGCCUAUCAGCUUGUUGGUGAGGUAAUGGCUCACCAAGGCGACGACGGGUAGCGGGCCUGAGAGGGCAACCGGCCAAACGGGAACAGAGAAACGGCCCAGGCUCCUACGGGGGGCAGCUGUGGGGAACAUUGGGCAAUGGUGGAAACUCUGACCCAGCGACGCCGCGUGAGGGAUGAAGGCCUUCGGGUUGUAAACCUCUUUCAGUAGGGAAGAAGCGAAAGUGACGGUACCUACAGAAGAAGCACCGGCUAACUAUGUGCCAGCAGCCGCCGUAA